AUGUUGGUCAUGCUGGUCUUGAACUCCCGACUUCAGGUGAUUCACCUGCCUUGGCCUCCCAAAGUGCUGGGAUUACAGGUGUGAGCCACCAUGCCCACCCCAUUUUUAAAAAGCUUUUCAGCAAUUCCAGUGGGUACCCAACAUUGUGAACCAUUGAGCUGGGUGGAAACUCUCAAUUCUGAUUGUUGUAUUUUAGAAGAGGUAGAGGUGUGUGUAUGUGUUUGUAUGUGUAUAUAGAUAGAUAUAGAUCUAUCUCUUUUAUAUACCUGUCUCACUAAAGUUUGUGUCCAUCAUCUAGCAGUCAGAAAGGCCAAAGAGGUCCUUAUUAGAAUGGUCUGAGGAUCAGCAUUGGCUUCACCUGGGAGCUUGUUAGAAAUGCAGAAUCUCAGGCUCCCCACCCCAGAUCUGCUGAGCUAAAUUCUGCAUUUUCACAAGUUUUUUCGGUGAUUCCUACACACUUUAAAGUUUGAGAAGCACUACUGGAGGUGAUAUUAGGGUAACUGUAGACCUCCACAUACCCUGCCUUUUGCUUCUCUCUGGUUUUGUGACUUAAGUUGUGACAUUUUUAUGCAGGGUUGGAAAAUGAAGCUAGUACUACAUGCUCACAUCAGCAGAUUAAUAGCUGCAGUGAGUUCCUGAUCUGGAGCAGAUGUGAAGGAGACAACUGCCAUCACCACAAAAUUCCGCUCUUCCCUGAGAUGGGGAAAGAGAAAACGGCUCAAAGAAUGGUCACUGGACUGAAGGCAGUGCUCUUUCAGUGUCUUCUCUCAACUGCUUUAUGUAUUAAGAAUAAGAAGCACAGUACUUGUAAGGAUACUUCUUUAUAGAUACCUUUGAGAAUUCUCUGAAAGAGAAAGCUGUUUCCCUUUAAAUAAGAAAUUUGCUCAUCCCAGUGUCAGACUGCAAAGAAUAAAGCCAAAUCCUCCAAGUUCCCUGGAAUAAUUUCUAUACAAUACCCAGCACUCAGAAACCUUAUAGUGGCUAUAAUCAGUCCCGUGUCUUAAAUAUUCCAAGAACACUCAGCCUGCUUCCCUCUGUCUCAACCCCCACCAAGAAUUAGGCAGAUUGUUUUGCUACGAUACUUUCUUCCUGCAGUGAUGAAAUGAUUCUUUUCUGUAAAUACUGUAGGGCCUAGUAGCAUAGUUUCUGGGAAGAUUUCCCAUCGCUGUCCCUUCACCUGACACACUGGUCAGGUAAGCACCCUAUUUCCUGACUAUUGUAGAUGCCAGUUAUGGGUUCAGCAUCUCUGGCCUGAGCAUUCUGAGAAGAAUUCCCUACACUAGAAAUGAGGGGCCUUUUUUCUUUCUUUUUUUUACAGGAAGUGACCUGUUGCUGUUGACCCUGCCCUGGAACUACAAUGAUGCUCAAAGUGGAACAGAGCCCUCUUCUCCCUAAGCAAGCACUGUCUUUUGCCUGCUCACCUUCCAACAUGGAAUUCCUAGAAGAUUGAGGAGCCUGGAAAGGGUCUUCUUGCCGUUCUGUUGGAGUGCCUCUGACUUCCCCAGUGUGUCCAUGUGGCCACACCGUGCUGCUUUCAGAGACAGUGGGCUUUCGGUAAGGCACAAAAGUAAGUAAAACUUUGCCUUUAGCACUGCUGUCCUUCACUGGGCAGAUUGCCCUACCUCCCCACCUCCCCACCUCCCCACCUCCCGAGGCCAAAAUUUGAUCUCAGAGCCUGGGAGCUGCAACUGCAGAAAGUGCAAAAUCCUGUCUUUGGUUUUGGAAUUCUCAUCAAUGCAGACUGUAUAGCCAUGGAUAGGAUAUGUGAGAAUACUAGCGUGUUAUGGCUGGAAUCAUCCUUAGGCAUUACCUAGCCAGUCCUGCCUCUCAUUUUAAGGUAAGAAUAGGCAUUUAACAUUGUAAGAUGAUGUAGUGGGUUCCUUUGGCAUUGUUCAGAUGCCCCAGGGAAUGUGUUCUUCCAUCCAUUUCUUGAGUAUUGACUGUUUGGCUGCCCUAGUCCACAGAGAAUUGUCCUGGCCAACAGGCACUCCUCUUCACUUGGGAAGGUUAGUUCCCUCUUCCAUCCCUCAUCAGCUCCUCAGCUUAUAGACUGUAGCCAUUGACUAGUUGGUAAGGGGGUACCAAGGGUCAGCCUUCUUGCUCCUAGAGGGAACCAGCUUUGUGGUACAAUUGAAGCUCCCUGUGAGAUCUGGCUGAGGUUUCUGCUGAGACCACAUUUUUGCUCAGUUUUCUUCCUCUGCCCUAUCUGCUGGCUGCUCCAUGCCCUUUUUCCCUGAGAGUAAUAAUCCCUCAAAGACUUACUGAGACAAGAAUACCUGUCUCAGGCUCUGCUUUUAGGGAAUCUGACUUAACAUAGAAAACUUGCUGAAUAAGUUAAUGAAGACUCAAAAUCUUCCUCUGGAGAAUGAAAAUUGACAGUACAUUUGCUUCAGGUUUGGUCACCUGUACCUACAUCAAGGAGGUCAAUUUAGGCAAAUAACAUCAUAGGCUUAUGAUUAGCAAAUUGAAGUGGACAAAUGCAGAUAUUUUUUGCAUUAUUUUAUUGCUGAAUCUAGAUCGGUUGUUUAAAAAGCAUAGUAGAAUGACACAAUUUAAAAUAGUGUCAAUCUUCCAUAUGGUGUAAUUCUACCAUGCUUUUAAAACAAUUGAUUUAGAUUUGGUAAUAAGAAAGUUCUUUAGUUCUGAGGUCCUUUAUUUGUUCUGUCUCAGUUUGGAGCUGCAGUAGUCAAUAUGGAUUCAGUUGUACAAUGGGACAUUUUCCCUGAAGUUGUCAUUUUCUGGUCACUAUGCUCUUUGAGGGACAGGAUCUGUGUACCAUGUUAAUCAUCUUUGUAUUGUUCCCUGUGGUGUUUGGCACAAAGGAUUGUGAAUUGUAGAUGUUCAAAAUCCCUCAAAGAUAUUGAAUCACAGCUGAUUCUGAGUUGAAUCAGCUGUCUUAAAAUAUUUUUCUUGACAUAUUUAGAAGAUAAAGUUUUGGGUAUAAAUAUACCCACAAGAACUAUAUCUAGGCUUUUAAAACAAAAUUGCUGAAUAUAUCUAACACAAUAAUUUAAACAUUUUCUUAAAAAAACUUAUUAGCAUGGGCUGUUUUGAACUUGAGUUGCCUUAUCUAUCUAUGAUUGUUUUUGUGAUACACGAAGGUACAUACUUUCCCACCCUGGAAUUUCACAGAAAACAACCAACCACACAUUUUGAGGUGCAGAUAGCUUGCUUUAUUUUGUUGUUACUAUCUCAAGAGGUCCAACAAUUAUAACUAACAACUGAAUUUAUACUUGCAUGAAAAGAACUACAUCAAAUUGACAUUGUGGGCAGUUAGUAAUAUUGUUGUUUUAAAUUUAACGACAGCUUUAUUUGUUGUUGUUCUUUAAUUUUUGCUGUGGCUCAUUGCUUAGGUGCCCAGGUUUUUCAGGUGCAAUUAAAAUUUAGAACUACCACACGAAGGCGUUGGCUGCACCCUGGGACCUCCAAGAGCUGACACUGCUCUGGCAUAGGAAUACUUGAAUAGCUUGGUUAAAUGAAGGGAUGGCCAGGAGAUGUUACUUUUCCAAGCUAUCCAGGCACUCUUUAUGUCAGAGACAGUGUAAAAGGAGCGAACAAAGUGUUGGCCGUUGCACUUUGCUCUGGUAAUAUUUGUCAUGAUAAUUUCGUGUGACAUCAUCAGAGAAAAUGUAAGACGUUAAAGUGUUGCUUACAGGAGGGUAAAUGCAAACAUCACCAAUGCCUUACAUUUCUGAUUCAAUAGGUAUUGGUGCAUAUAUCAAGUGAUAUGCACAGCAUCAUCCUCUUUUAGGUGGAUAGGACAUCUUCAGUGGGGAAUUUCUCAACCCACUGAGGCAUACUUAGACAUCAACAGUAUGUUGAGGCACAAAGAUUGAUUAAAUGUUGAGCAGGGUAUUCGUUCCAUAAGAAACUUUCUCCUACCAACAGUUAGUUUCAAAAGUUACAUUGUAAAAU